UCCAUUUUUGUCUUUACAAGCUGAAAAGGAAAUUAGGGAGAACUUACUGCGCCAGCUUUUCCGGAAAGGAUCGGACUCACCUUGUUGAAGUCCGCGAGUUCCGCGAUCUCGUCCCACAAAGAGAGCAUGAUGUGCAGGUUCUCCUGGUACCGAUUGUAACUGAACUCCCCUUUGCCCUCGAUCAGGGUCAUCUUGAGCGCCAUGCACUCGAAGUCGUGCUUCUCCACCAUGCCAUUGUUGUCCGUGUCUGAAACGCGCCGUGGGAAACGUUCGUGUUAUCGUGACUUUUGGAAAAGCGUAGGAACCGUUUCCCGGUGUUCCCGAAACGGGACCGGGCCAAUUAAUUGAUCGAUUCGCGCCAAUUUAUGUUCAAAGAGAUCGCUGUCCACUUCGGACAGGCUCUGGACCAGCUCCAAAUGCUUCGCUUUCUGGCAGAAAUCGGUCUCGCCCGUCACCAAGUACACGACCCCUAAGCGUCAAUCCGGCUCGAACGGUAUUUUCAAUCCGCGCCGGGAGUCAUCGAUUCCGACGCUGUCUUGUCAGCGGCUCGAUCACUGGCACAAUCCGUGCGCCUCUCCCAUUGGCACCAUUUCCGUUUCCCCCGGACCUCAGAGCCGCUUCCAAGUGGCAUUUUCCGUUCCGAAUUCUGCCGGCAAUUUCUGUUCCGAAUCUCGUCGGUCCCGGUGUUUUAUCGUUCGCCGGAAAAUCGAAACGACCACGAUACCGAAAGGUUUACGAGGAUUCGUAGACCGCCGAUCUCUCGGUGAUUUUAUCCGCGCGAACGGUCCGCGGCUAGAUUUCGCCGUUUUAUUUUUUCCUGGACAGUCGCGCGGCUCUAAAGUUAGCCCUGCCACGCGUUAUUUUCACGACGGUACACGCAUCAUUCACCGAAACGGACGACAGCCCCCGCGGAUGCUCGUGUAUCGAGUAACGUUUCGGUGGCUGGCGAACUUUUAGCAAAUUCGCUCGUCGCCGCGCGCUCGACCGUCGCGGUGAAUCGGGAGCGAUGAGAAAGGCCGCGACCGUUCCAUGAAACGAAUUAGGACCCAAGCCGAAUUUUGGCAGCGGCGGCCGGUUGCGGGCGUCCCGACGACGCCGCGGUUUCGCUUCGAACGGUCAACCUAAAUCCUAAACAAGCGCGGCGAUCUUGAAGCCAAGAGGACUGAUUUCCCGAUCCCCGAUCUCCCCUCGCCAGUUUCUAGGAGAGGACCACUGCAGCGAGGAUCCCGAUAGUCGAGCACUUGGCCGUGGAACGAAACUAGCGUGGAAGCUGUCUACAAGAAUGAUAAAACGGCAAGGGAACUGUCGCAACGGACCUGGAGGCAGCAAAGGAGGUUGCUCGAAAGGGUGUUUCCAGCAAGGUGGAGGUCUCUGGGUUACUCACGUGAUGCCCGCGUAAUCAGCCUAACAGGAUAAUCCGUGCAAGAGGGGCCGGGCUAAGCACACGGUCACGUUGGAAAGCAGCGAAUGCGUGGCACACACCGUGCGCUUCGGAGUUCUACUAACCGUAGAGAAACCUUACAA